rnacentral:rRNA from 1 species
AGAGUUUGAUCCUGGCUCAGAUUGAACGCUGGCGGUAUGCCUAACACAUGCAAGUCGAACGGUAACAGAGAGAAGCUUGCUUCUUUGCUGACGAGUGGCGGACGGGUGAGUAACGCGUGGGAAUCUACCUCGUAGUUGGGGAUAGCCCGGAGAAAUCCGGAUUAAUACCGAAUAAGAUCUACGGAUGAAAAGGUGCCUCUGCUUGCAAGCACUUGCUAUGAGAUGAGCCCGCGUUAGAUUAGUUAGUUGGUGGGGUAAUGGCCUACCAAGACGACGAUCUAUAGCUGGUUUGAGAGGAUGAUCAGCCACAUUGGGACUGAGACACGGCCCAGACUCCUACGGGAGGCAGCAGUGGGGAAUAUUGGACAAUGGGCGAAAGCCUGAUCCAGCAAUACCGCGUGUGUGAAGAAGGCCUUCGGGUUGUAAAGCACUUUUAUGUAGGAAGAAGGAUUGAGUGUUAAUAGCGCUUGAUUUUGACGGUACUACAGGAAUAAGCACCGGCUAACUCCGUGCCAGCAGCCGCGGUAAUACGGAGGGUGCGAGCGUUAAUCGGAAUUACUGGGCGUAAAGGGUACGUAGGCGGCUUGAUAAGUCAGAUGUGAAAUCCCCGGGCUUAACCUGGGAACUGCAUUUGAAACUGUCUGGCUAGAGUGAGUGAGAGGUUAGUGGAAUUCAAGGCGUAGCGGUGAAAUGCGUAGAGGUCUUGAGGAACAUCAGUGGCGAAGGCGACUAACUGGCACUACACUGACGCUGAGGUACGAAAGCGUGGGGAGCGAACAGGAUUAGAUACCCUGGUAGUCCACGCCCUAAACGAUGAGGACUGGCUGUUGGCGCUAUAGACGCGUCGGUAGCGAAGCUAACGCGUUAAGUUCUCCGCCUGGGGAGUACGGCCGCAAGGCUGAAACUCAAAGGAAUUGACGGGGGCCCGCACAAGCGGUGGAGCAUGUGGUUUAAUUCGAUGCAACGCGAAGAACCUUACCAUCCCUUGACAUCCUCAGAAUGAUCUGUAAUCGAUCAGUGCCUUCGGGAACUGAGUGACAGGUGCUGCACGGCUGUCGUCAGCUCGUGUCGUGAGAUGUUGGGUUAAGUCCCGCAACGAGCGCAACCCCUAUCUAUAGUUGCCAGCACGUAAUGGUGGGAACUCUAUAGAGACUGCCGGUGAUAAGCCGGAGGAAGGUGGGGACGACGUCAAGUCAUCAUGGCCCUUACGGGAUGGGCUACACACGUGCUACAAUGGUGCAUACAGAGGGUUGCCAACCCGCGAGGGGGAGCUAAUCUCAGAAAGUGCAUCUUAGUCCGGAUUGCAGUCUGCAACUCGACUGCAUGAAGUCGGAAUCGCUAGUAAUCGCGAAUCAGCAAUGUCGCGGUGAAUACGUUCCCGGGCCUUGUACACACCGCCCGUCACACCAUGGGAGUGGGUUGCUCCAGAAGUGGCUAGUCUAACCUUCGGGAAGACGGUCACCACGGAGUGAUUCAUGACUGGGGUGAAGUCGUAACAAGGUAGCCGUUGGGGAACCAGUGGCUGGAUCACCU